ACCAGGAGGCUGGAGCUCCUGAGCCAUCUGUCUCACCCUGACUCUGCCCGGCCUUCCUGCCAGCCCCUCUGCUGCUGGCAGCACUCCCAGAUCCCUCCACUCAUGACCAGCCAACAUGCCCUUCACUUCUCCCUCUCAACCUUCAUUUAAUGGGUUUGGGAGACCAGUCUGAGCACUGCUUCCAGAUAAAAGCAUCUGCUGCAGAUAAAAGCAUCAGCUGGAGUCAUCAAUGGGGUUUGGAGCCCCUCCAAGGCAUCAGAUGGAAGAUCCCUCCUUACUGGAAGGAAGUGAGCACAUGCAAAGUCACUUCAGGGAGUCAAAAGUAAAAUCCAGAUUCCCUCUCCUGGGACACAGCUUCUGUAAAAGUCCUGGAAACUGGAAGAAAACACCAGGGAAAAGAGCAAGGAAAUGCCACUGUAGCUUUCAUGGUUCCUGUGCUGUUAGGAAGGGCUCUCUAGAAGCCUCCAGUCCCCCUCCCACUCAGAGCAGCACCAUCUCCAGCACUGAUCAGUCACCCUGGCUGUGCUUCUGUCCACUGAAGAUGCAUGUCCAACACUCUCUGACCCAAAAAAGUCCAAAGAGUCAGUGGGAGGAGGGCCUGGAGGGAUAAGAAAAUUCCUCUGGCUGUUGCAGUGCAAUGCUCCUUGGGAUGUCCCUGCCAUAAAAGCAGAGCCACACUUGCCAUUGACCAGGAGGUGAAGUGCCAUGUGCACAGAGAGGUGACAGUCAGAAAAGUCUUCCAGAAAAUCCUGCUGAGACCUGCAGAGGAGCGUCUCGUGACAGCAGAACCCGUGGCUGAAGGAAGGGCUGAUGGUGUGGAACGAAGGGACAGCAAAUGAUCCUCAAAGGGUUAAUCUUUAACCACACUGUGGCACAGAUCAAGCUGCAGGAGGUGAAUCACAGAAUCACAGAAUUAUCUGGGCCAGAAGGGACCUUAAAGUCCAUCCCAUCCCACGCCUGCCAUGGGCAGGGACACCUUCCACUGUCCCAGGCUACUCCAAGCCCCGUCCAGCAAGGGAUGGGGCAGCCACAGCUCGUCUGGGCACCCUGUGCCAGGGCUUCCCCACACUCACAGGGAACAAUUCCUUCUGUGAUGUCACCUAAACUUCCCCCCUUUCAGUCUGAAACCCUUCCCCCUUGUCCUGCCAGGCUUGUGGACCGUGGGGCUGUGGGUGUCCCUGUCCCACAGGUCUCACUCCAUCUCCUGAGGCACAGCAAGGACCACAUCCAGCACAGCAUCACUGCACCCCCAGUGCUCCCAGCAGCAGGAAAGGCAGGACCCCUCUGUGGCCACAUUUCUCUUCACAGAGAAAAGCAAGGCACAACUUCCCAAGGGUAUUUUCUGGGAAUUGCAGCAAAGAACCUCAGGGAAAGAAAAAACAAUUCUUAUCUCAAUUGCUGCGCCUGUGUUUGUGCACAAGUGGAAUGCAUUGUAGAAAAUUGUUUACCUGACAGAAAUUAGUAAUUAAAUUCUAGUGUGAGUGUUUUGUUUUCUUAACCAAUCUCUGCAAGCUGUGUCCAGUCAAUCAAACAAUCACGAGAUCUGGUUGAGUGCUUGUGCAGUUUCAGUUUAAAUGUAGUGUAAUAUGGUAUAGUAUAAUAUAGUAAUAAUAUAAUAAAGUAAUUACUAAUAGUAAUUCGUAGUAAUAAGGUAAUUAAUAUAGUAAUUAUUAUUACUAUAAUAAAUUAUGGUAAUAAUAUAAUAAAGUAAUUAAUUAACCUUCUAAUAUCAAUAGAGUCAAAUGCAUCAUUUCUCCCUUGCAAAUUUCUCCCUUGCAAGUCGGGGCACCUUGCAAAUCCGAUACCCCUCUUCCCCAUGAACUUCUGUCCCCAUGAACUUCUCUUCUGUACUCUGUGCCCUGGACAAAGGGAAUCUGACCAGAGCAUCCUGAUGAACAGGACAGGAGGUGCCUCUGGGUUUCUCAGCUCUGGGCAGAGCGAGCCCGGCCCUGCAGCCCAGUGCAGAAGGUGUCAGUACUGAGUCAUUGAUUUACAAACUCCGUGCCAUGGGGGAGCGAGGUGAGGAGGGGCUGCU